AAACGUAGGGGGCGAGCGUUGCCCGGAUUUACUGGGCGUAAAGCGCGCGUAGGCGGUUGCGUAAGUGGGGAGUUAAAGCCCUCGGCUCAACCGAGGAAAUGCUCCUCAAACUGCGCGGCUUGAGUGUAGGAGAGGGGAGUGGAAUUCCCGGUGUAGCGGUGAAAUGCGUUGAUAUCGGGAGGAACACCAGUGGCGAAGGCGGCUCCCUGGCCUACUACUGACGCUGAGGCGCGAAAGCGUGGGGAGCGAACGGGAUUAGAUACCCCGGUAGUCCACGCCGUAAACGAUGAGCGCUAGGUGUUGGUGGUCUCGACCCCACCAGUGCCGUAGCUAACGCAUUAAGCGCUCCGCCUGGGGAGUACGGCCGCAAGGUUGAA
rnacentral:rRNA from 1 species